rnacentral:lncRNA from 1 species
CUGCAACCCAGAGAAAGUUUUGUGUUGUGUUCUGGCUGGCGAAACUUCUGCAAACAACGAAUGCUUCUUUUCAUCAGCCUAUUCUGCGUUGGUUGGUAGGAUGUCAGUCUAUAACCACAUCAAUUUCAGAUGAGGAUGUCAAGACUUGGAGUAGGUGACAGUUGGCCUUGGGCUUCGGUGGCCAACCCAUGACUACAAAAGCCCGAGAAGCCAGCAGCUUCCCCGGCUCCUCCACCAAGUGGCCUCUGGGUGAUGGGGAAGCUUGUCCUCUGCUUUGUCACACACAAAACUCUAAAAGUCAGCAUCCCAACGCAUCGGCCUGGAGAGCCCGUCCAGAAAGAAACAGAAAAAAGGAAAGAAAAGAAAGAAGAAAGAAAAAAAGAAUGCAAGCUUCAUGUUUGGCUGUAGCCUCCGCUGAGGGAGCCUCUCCAGUCCCGACUGCCGCGUGCCCUGGGUGGCGGAGGAAUUUGGGGGUGGACCUAUCUCAGUUGUAUCUGGAA